UACGUAGGGACCUAGCGUUGUCCGGAAUCAUUGGGCGUAAAGCGCGCGUAGGCGGCCCGGUAAGUCCGUUGUAAAAGUCGAAGGCUCAACCUUCGAAAGCCGAUGGAUACUGCCGGGCUAGAGUCCGGAAGAGGCGAGUAGAAUUCCUGGUGUAGCGGUGGAAUGUGCAGAUAUCAGGAGGAAUACCCAUAGCGAAGGCAGCUCGCUGGGACGGUACUGACGCUGAGGCGCGAAAGCGUGGGGAGCGAACAGG
rnacentral:rRNA from 1 species